UACGGAGGGUGCUAGCGUUGUUCGGAAUUACUGGGCGUAAAGGGCGCGUAGGCGGCCGUUUGCGUCGGAUGUGAAAGCCCGGGGCUCAACCCCGGAACGGCAUCCGAUACGGGACGGCUGGAGACCGGGAGAGGAGGGUGGAAUAGCCAGUGUAGAGGUGAAAUUCGUAGAUAUUGGCUGGAACACCGGUGGCGAAAGCAGCCCCCUGGGUUAACACUGACGCUCAUGCACGAAAGCGUGGGGAGCAAACAGG
rnacentral:rRNA from 1 species